rnacentral:tRNA from 1 species
GGAGACGUGGCCGAGAGGCUGAAGGCGGCGGUUUGCUAAACCGUUAUAGGGUUGUAACGCCCUAUCGAGGGUUCGAAUCCCUCCGUCUCCGCCA